rnacentral:rRNA from 1 species
UGCGGGAUGAAGCCUUUCGGGCUGUAAACCGCUUUCAGCAGGAACGAAAAUGACGGUACCUGCAGAAGAAGGAGCGGCCAACUACGUGCCAGCAGCCGCGGUGACACGUAGGCUCCAAGCGUUGUCCGGAUUUAUUGGGCGUAAAGAGCUCGUAGGCGGUUUAGUAAGUCGGGUGUUAAAACUUUGGGCUCAACCCGGAGAGGCCAUCCGAUACUGCUGUGACUUGAGUUCAGGAGGGGAGCGGGGAAUUCCUAGUGUAGCGGUGAAAUGCGCAGAUAUUAGGAGGAACACCGGUGGCGAAGGCGCCGCUCUGGACUGAAACUGACGCUGAGGAGCGAAAGCAUGGGUAGCAAACAGGAUUAGAUACCCUGGUAGUCCAUGCCGUAAACGGUGGGCACUAGGUGUGGGUUCCAACUAACG